rnacentral:snoRNA from 1 species
GCAUGGCUGAGUACUGUGUUCUUUUUAUCAGUUGUUUACAUAGCCAGACAUCAUGGGAAAAAAAAAACAAAAAACAUUCUUUAAAGUGGUUAUGAUGGAUUGCUAAGUUUUUUCAUAGCAUAUCGUCAUUAAAGGGAAAUAGAAAU